AGCAGCCGCGGUAAUUCCAGCUCCAAUAGCGUAUAUUAAAGUUGUUGCAGUUAAAAAGCUCGUAGUUGAAUUUCGGGAUUAGUACGCUGGUCAUGCCUUUGGUAUGUACUGGUGUUACUGGUUCCUACCUUCUGAAGAACCGUUAUGUCAUUAAUUUGGUGUGGCGGGGAAUCAGGACUGUUACUUUGAAAAAAUUAGAGUGUUUAAAGCAGGCUCGCGCUUGAAUACAUUAGCAUGGAAUAAUGAAAUAGGACGUUGAUCCUAUUUUGUUGGUUUCUAGGAUUGACGUAAUGAUUAAUAGGGAUAGUUGGGGGCAUUAGUAUUCAAUUGUCAGAGGUGAAAUUCUUGGAUUUAUUGAAGACUAACUACUGCGAAAGCAUUUGCCAAGGAUGUUUUCAUUAAUCAAGAACGAAAGUUAGGGGAUCGAAGACGAUCAGAUACCGUCGUAGU
rnacentral:rRNA from 1 species